UGCGCCACUGGGUCGGCCCCUAUCCAUCACUUUCUAAAUUUGUAUUACUCACACAUCUUAUCUCCCUUCCUAGACUAUGUGUUUCCUGAAUCAGGAUCCAUUCUUCAGUCACUUUGCUUCUCCUAGUGUGAGAGAACAGCUGCCACUGAUCAAGCAGUUAUUUGUAUGCCAAGUUAUUUAUUUCCACUUCACAAGUGGAAAAACUGAGGGCCAAAAAGAUUAAUAUCUAGUAUAGUAGAUUAAUCUCUAGUAUCCAGUAUGGUAGGUAUCUAGUAGGUCAUGCGGCUACUAAGUGAUGAAGCCUGGAUUCAAACUCAAGUAGUCUGACCUCAGAGUCUAUGCUCUUUAUUACUGGGCCCCAUAAUGCUUCCUGCACAUUGUGGGCAGUAAAGACGCAGUAAAUACUUAUUAAAUGAAUUCAUUCAUCAGUUAGCUAAUUAGUAAGACAACAAAAUGUUGGUCAGCUGUUAGGAGACCCAGUUUCAGAUACCUCCUCUGACCUAUAGCAUUAGAAAAGCCAAGGCUGUAAAGGAUUUAGGAGUAAAAUCAGGGGAUAUUCAGCGGUAAGAUCUGCCUCCAGACCACUGUCAAACCAAGUUCUACCAAUACUAACAUUAGUAACAUUAGAGUUAACCUAGGACACUGCUUCACAAUCCUAUGCAAACCCAGUGAGACUGAUAGAACUUCUUAAAGAGGAGAGGUUACACAUUUCGAAUAACUAAAUUACAUAUCUCUCUGAACGUUGGUGUUGUGUGCAUUAGGGGAAAAAGGCAGAUAUACACCUUCUAGGGUUACUAUAAGGUUUAAUGAGAUUAUGUGAAGUACCCAGCACAGUACUUGGUACAUAGUAGAAACUCUAUGCAUAUAAGCACUACCCUCCACUCCACCUGCAUUUCCCACUUCGCAGCUAAGCUGAAAGAAGGCGCAAAGCCAAAGGAGAGAUGAAUGGAUGACAGCUGGCAAUGAGAGAUGUUAGUCAAAUUCCACAGGAUUAAGUAGUUGUGAAUCAGAGGUGUCAAGGUCCACUCCCAAGAUUCCAAAUAGCAGCUCUUAGUCUUGCAAGAAAAUUUAGCCAGGAGAAGGAUAAGUGAGAGGCCUAUCAGAAGACAGAGGAAGUCGUUAUUCCUAGCAGAAGGGGAAAUUAGUUCUUGGGAUUCCCUCACUGUAAUGACUGACUGUUUUGUCGGCCAGGAUUGGAUUAACCUAAGGGUAUUCAGAGAUCUAUGUAUCUCACUGGGUCAUCUGUAUUUUACUGAGGAAUAGGAAGAUUAACUGCAGGCACCAGACUGGUCGUCCCACUUAACGUAACCCUGGAAAGUUCCUCUCGCAUUCCAGAAACUACUCAGCCUCUGUGAAGUUUGCCUAUCUGUCUGGCAAAAGACAGUUCAGGUCGUGUUUUUCACAAGCAAUAGAAAAAGCCAGUUUCAACAAAGCUAGGAGUUUGUCCUAAGAAUCUGGAGUUACUUAAGAGAUAUUUCAACAACCUGUGUCUUCAGUAAGGCUCCCCGGAAACAGACGCCUAAACAGAGAGAUGCAUGCCGGGUGCUGUGGUUUUUUGUUUUGUUUUGGUGGGGGGUGCUCUAAGAAACAACACCUGUAGGGGGAGUAAGGGAAACAGACUUGGGCAGAGGAAGAAGUUGAACUUUGAUGCCGUUGUAUUCAGCUAAGCCUACAGGGUGCUGGAUAUCAGUGUAAAAUGGUCUCCAGUAAAAGGAGCUGGGGGCCUUUGUAUCCCUAUGAGCAGUCAUCUGAUGCUGAUUGCCCCAGGGAGGGGUGUAACCUUGUGUAAGGCAGCUCCCUUGCUGAGGGCCGUCCAGAGGGGCACUCAGCUGUGAAUCACCCACGGCUAACGCUGCAGCUGCAGAAUCAGGGUAUCCACCAGAACCUGCUGCACAGCUGGGUCUAAACGUCUUAUUCGUAAAAUUUGUCAAGCCCUUGGAAGAAGAGAGUUGGUGUCUGCUUUUCCAUCAACUUGUAAAUUCCUGGAGAGGAGGACCUCAAGACAUUCUCCCUUGUUUUCUUCACAGCCAGGGAUGAUAUUGAAGAUAGUUAACACCCAGUGCAGCACAGGCACCAACCAACUCAAAUGGACGCUGGUCUUAGGCAAUUUGUAUGGCUAUACUAGUGGAUACAGCUGAAUAUUUGUUCUGCACACGGAAGGCAUCCAAUAAAAGAUCGUUGGAUUGAAUUUCAUUGGUUUGGUCAUCAUGGCCUUGCCACCUUUGUUCCAGAUAAAUGGAUCUGUAUGAGAGAAGCAGCUCUGGCACAUGCACACUUGCGGAUGCCGUUCAUCUGCUUUUCUCCUGGGACUACCAGGAAAUAAAUUAGCUAUCAGAUCAGAGCAAACCAAAAUUUAAAAGAUCAUAAAUGAAAAAUGAAUGUGUUGUUAUUUGACUUUUUUGUAUCGUUAUUCAUAGAUUUUCUUAAAGUAAUAAUCAGAGAACAUCAUCAACUAAAAUAUGUUUAUAACCCAAGUCAGUGACGAACUUGGUAAACACGGCAGAAUUACGCCCUCUCUUAAUUAGCCUUUGGGGAGACACCAAGUUUUGAACCACUGCUUGUAGCUCUGGGAAUCUUCUAAGAAGCAGGAGUAGAUUAACCUCUAGAAGAGAAAUAUGCCAAAAGCUGAUUUUCACAUAUGACUUGGUGAGUCUUAAACAGAAACAGGCUAACAUGCCAAAUAUGACCAGCUGAGAAGUAUCAACAUCAAAGGCAGAAAUCAUAAACUAUUUGACACAAACAUAUUAAAAAGUUUUACAUCAAGAAAUUAUAAAAAACAAAAUUUAAGACAGGUGACAAAUUUUAAAAUAUUGCUGCAUAUGUGACAGAGCUGAUAUCAUUAAUAUAUGAGAAAUUCUUACAGAUCAGUAAGAAAAAAAUGCCUCAGUAGAAAAAUGACCAAAGGAUAAGCAAGUCACAAAACAAAAAAUAAAAAAGGCUGAUAAACAUUUAGUGUCUAGAAUAGUGCCUGUCACAUAGUUGGCAAUUAGUAAAUAUCCACUGUAUGAAUGAACGUCUGUGAAAAAAUGUUUGACUUCAGGACUAACCAAAGAAUCCCUAAUUAAAAUAACAGUGAAAUAUUAUUUUCACCUGUCAGCUUUGCAACAAUGACAAAAAAUAAUACCCAGUGUUGGUAAUGGGGAGGGGAAAUGUGCCACUGUUGAUGGGAGGGUAAAGUGGUAUUAAACUUUUCGGUGGGAAAGUCGACAAUAUGAAAAAAGCUUUGUCUAAAACCUUUGACACAGCAAUUUCUAGGAAGUUAUUCCAAGAAAAUACUUACAAAUGCCCAAACCUGUGUGUACAAUGGUAAGGUAGACAAUAUGCAUUUUUUGCUGUUGUCUGUUGGGGCAACCUGUGUAACGUGCCCUCCAGGCCUUAGUGGUGGUACACAGAUGCAGGAUACAUCCAAGUCAGGCCAUUCGUUCCAGAAAAGUAGCCAAGUUGGAGACGGGAAAGGAGUUCUUUCUUUAUCUUCAGAAUGCCGGCUGUCAGGGCAGGCUCUAGAGUUGGCGGUGGCCAUGUCCUCCA